GACGAACGCUGGCGGCGUGCUUAACACAUGCAAGUCGAACGGUAAGGCCCUUCGGGGUACACGAGUGGCGAACGGGUGAGUAACACGUGGGUGAUCUGCCCUGCACUUCGGGAUAAGCCUGGGAAACUGGGUCUAAUACCGGAUAGGACCACUGCCUGCAUGGGUGGUGGUGGAAAGCUUUUGCGGUGUGGGAUGGGCCCGCGGCCUAUCAGCUUGUUGGGGGGGUGAUGGCCUACCAAGGCGACGACGGGUAGCCGGCCUGAGAGGGUGACCGGCCGCACUGGGACUGAGAUACGGCCCAGACUCCUACGGGAGGCAGCAGUGGGGAAUAUUGCACAAUGGGCGCAAGCCUGAUGCAGCGACGCCGCGUGAGGGAUGACGGCCUUCGGGUUGUGAACCUCUUUCAGCACCGACGAAGCGCAAGUGACGGUAGGUGCAGAAGAAGGACCGGCCAACUACGUGCCAGCAGCCGCAGUAA
rnacentral:rRNA from 1 species